CACGUAGGGUGCGAGCGUUGUCCGGAAUUAUUGGGCGUAAAGAGCUCGUAGGCGGUGUGUCGCGUCGGCCGUGAAAACCUGCAGCUUAACUGUGGGCUUGCAGCCGAUACGGGCGGGCUAGAGUUCGGUAGGGGAGACUGGAAUUCCUGGUGUAGCGGUGAAAUGCGCAGAUAUCAGGAGGAACACCGGUGGCGAAGGCGGGUCUCUGGGCCGAUACUGACGCUGAGGAGCGAAAGCGUGGGGAGCGAACAGG
rnacentral:rRNA from 1 species